GAUGAACGCUGGCGGCGUGCCUAAUACAUGCAAGUCGAGCGAACAGACGAGGAGCUUGCUCCUCUGACGUUAGCGGCGGACGGGUGAGUAACACGUGGAUAACCUACCUAUAAGACUGGGAUAACUUCGGGAAACCGGAGCUAAUACCGGAUAAUAUAUUGAACCGCAUGGUUCAAUAGUGAAAGACGGCUUUGCUGUCACUUAUAGAUGGAUCCGCGCCGCAUUAGCUAGUUGGUAAGGUAACGGCUUACCAAGGCGACGAUGCGUAGCCGACCUGAGAGGGUGAUCGGCCACACUGGAACUGAGACACGGUCCAGACUCCUACGGGAGGCAGCAGUAGGGAAUCUUCCGCAAUGGGCGAAAGCCUGACGGAGCAACGCCGCGUGAGUGAUGAAGGUCUUCGGAUCGUAAAACUCUGUUAUUAGGGAAGAGCAAAUGUGUAAGUAACUAUGCACGUCUUGACGGUACCUAAUCAGAAAGCCACGGCUAACUACGUG
rnacentral:rRNA from 1 species